rnacentral:rRNA from 1 species
GAUGAACGCUAGCUACAGGCUUAACACAUGCCCGUUGAGGGGCAGCAUUUUAGUUUGCUUGCAAACUAAAGAUGCGCUACCGGCGCACGGGUGAGUAACACGUAUCCAACCUGCCGAUAACUCGGGGAUAGCCUUUCGAAAGAAAGAUUAAUAUCCGAUGGUAUAUUAAAACCGCAUGGUUUUACUAUUAAAGAAUUUCGGUUAUCGAUGGGGAUGCGUUCCAUUAGUUUGUUGGCGGGGUAACGGCCCACCAAGACUACGAUGGAUAGGGGUUCUGAGAGGAAGGUCCCCCACAUUGGAACUGAGACACGGUCCAAACUCCUACGGGAGGCAGCAGUGAGGAAUAUUGGUCAAUGGACGAGAGUCUGAACCAGCCAAGUAGCGUGAAGGAUUAUUGUUUCUAUGGGUUGUAAACUUCUUUUAUAUGGGAAUAAAGUAUUCCACGUGUGGGAUUUUGUAUGUACCAUAUGAAUAAGGAUCGGCUAACUCCGUGCCAGCAGCCGCGGUAAUACGGAGGAUCCGAGCGUUAUCCGGAUUUAUUGGGUUUAAAGGGAGCGUAGGUGGAUUGUUAAGUCAGUUGUGAAAGUUUGCGGCUCAA